rnacentral:lncRNA from 1 species
CAAUAUUAACAUCAGGGCCUUCAAUGUCCACCUUGGGUCCUGAGAUGUCAACGUCAGCCUUAGGCAAGCUCACAUCUGGGACUUCAACAUCCACCUUGGGUCCUGAGACAUCAACGUCAGCCUUGGGCAAGUUCACAUCCACUUCUGGGCCCUCUCCUUUGAAGCCAGGCAUGCUGAACUUGGGCAUUUUCAUCUUAGGCAUCUUCAGGUGCCAGUCUGGGCCUUGAACCUCCACAUCUGGGACAUCAAUGUCCAUUUUGGCACUUUUAAGUUCAACAUCAGGAACUUUAAUCUCACUUUCAAC